UACAGAGGGGGCGAGCGUUGUUCGGAAUUACUGGGCGUAAAGGGCGCGUAGGCGGCCUGCUAAGUCGAACGUGAAAUCCCUGGGCUCAACUUGGGAACUGCGUCUGAUACUGGAUGGCUUGAAUUCGGGAGAGGGAUGCAGAAUUCCAGGUGUAGCGGUGAAAUGCGUAGAUAUCUGGAGGAAUACCGGUGGCGAAGGCGGCAUCCUGGACCGAUAUUGACACUGAGGAGCGAAAGCCAGGGGAGCAAACGGG
rnacentral:rRNA from 1 species